AGAGUUUGAUCCUGGCUCAGGAUGAACGCUGGCGGCGUGCUUAACGCAUGCAAGUCGAACGAACCUUCGGGUUAGUGGCGGACGGGUGAGUAACGCGUGAGAAUCUGCCCUCAGGAGGGGGAUAACGGCUGGAAACGGCCGCUAAUACCCCAUAUGCCGAGAGGUGAAAUGAAUUUCGCCUGAGGAUGAGCUCGCGUCUGAUUAGCUAGUUGGUAGGGUAAAGGCCUACCAAGGCUUCGAUCAGUAGCUGGUCUGAGAGGAUGAUCAGCCACACUGGGACUGAGACACGGCCCAGACUCCUACGGGAGGCAGCAGUGGGGAAUUUUCCGCAAUGGGCGAAAGCCUGACGGAGCAACGCCGCGUGAGGGAUGAAGGCCUCUGGGCUGUAAACCUCUUUUAUCAAGGAAGAAGAUCUGACGGUACUUGAUGAAUAAGCCACGGCUAAUUCCGUGCCAGCAGCCGCGGUAAUACGGGAGUGGCAAGCGUUAUCCGGAAUUAUUGGGCGUAAAGCGUCCGCAGGCGGUCUUACAAGUCUGUCGUUAAAGCGUGGAGCUUAACUCCAUUUCAGCGAUGGAAACUGUAAGACUAGAGUGUGGUAGGGGCAGAGGGAAUUCCCGGUGUAGCGGUGAAAUGCGUAGAUAUCGGGAAGAACACCAGUGGCGAAGGCGCUCUGCUGGGCCAUAACUGACGCUCAUGGACGAAAGCCAGGGGAGCGAAAGGGAUUAGAUACCCCUGUAGUCCUGGCCGUAAACGAUGAACACUAGGUGUCGGGGGAAUCGACCCCCUCGGUGUCGUAGCCAACGCGUUAAGUGUUCCGCCUGGGGAGUACGCACGCAAGUGUGAAACUCAAAGGAAUUGACGGGGGCCCGCACAAGCGGUGGAGUAUGUGGUUUAAUUCGAUGCAACGCGAAGAACCUUACCAGGGUUUGACAUCCUGCGAAUCCCUUGGAAACGAGGGAGUGCCUUCGGGAACGCAGUGACAUGUGGUGCAUGGCUGUCGUCAGCUCGUGUCGUGAGAUGUUGGGUUAAGUCCCGCAACGAGCGCAACCCACGUCUUUAGUUGCCAGCAUUUAGUUGGGCACUCUAGAGAGACUGGCGGUGAUAAACCGGAGGAAGGUGUGGAUGACGUCAAGUCAUCAUGCCCCUUACAUCCUGGGCUACACACGUACUACAAUGCUACGGACAAAGGGCAGCAAACUCGCGAGAGCUAGCAAAUCCCAUAAACCGUGGCUCAGUUCAGAUCGUAGGCUGCAACUCGCCUACGUGAAGGAGGAAUCGCUAGUAAUCGCAGGUCAGCAUACUGCGGUGAAUACGUUCCCGGGCCUUGUACACACCGCCCGUCACACCAUGGAAGUUGGCCACGCCCGAAGUCGUUACUCCAACCCUUGUGGAGGAGGAUGCCGAAGGUGGGGCUGAUGACUGGGGUGAAGUCGAAACAAGGUA
rnacentral:rRNA from 1 species